rnacentral:hammerhead_ribozyme from 1 species
AGGCGAAACCCACCCCUUCGGGGGUGCGGUCCGGCCAGGUGGUUCCUGGUCGCUGAUGAGCCAGCCUGCU